rnacentral:rRNA from 1 species
AUGACCUUAAGCCAACCUUUUUGUGUGUGGCAGUUGUUACAUUUGCAAAUGUCAAAUUCUGUCAUGAAUACCACUCAGAAAGUUGAUCCAACGGAACCAGCUGCUAAGAUUGCUCAGCAAGCCUCACAGUUCAAACGAUGGGGACGCAAGCAUCCAUUUGUUCGAUAUGGCCUUCCGCUCAUUUCUUUGACAGUGUUUGGUGCGGUUGGUCUAGCUCAUCUCAUACAGGGAAGCAAAGAAGUAACAAAGGAAAAGGAGGACAUGGAAUGGGAGGUCGUAGAGAAAACAAAAGCUCUGAGCCGAACAGGACCAGUGGAAGGGGCUUAUAAGCCUAAGAAGCUCUCGCUAGAGGACGAACUGAAGGCUUUGCAGCAAAAGGUGGACAUAAACAGCUACGACUACAAGAGAAUUCCCAAACAAAAUGAAAACAAGUGA